UACAGAGGGUGCGAGCGUUAAUCGGAAUUACUGGGCGUAAAGCGUGCGUAGACGGUAGCGUAAGUCAGAUGUGAAAGCCCCGGGCUCAACCUGGGAACUGCAUUUGAGACUGCUCUGCUCGGGUGCGGAAGAGGGAAGCGGAAUUUCCGGUGUAGCGGUGAAAUGCGUAGAUAUCGGAAGGAACACCAGUCGGCGAAAGCGGACUUCCGUGG
rnacentral:rRNA from 1 species